CUUUCUUAAUGCUUUUUCUGAAACUCCUCAGGAGCUCAUGCAAAAUAAAGUGCUGGUUUAGAAGAUGCACUGUACUAUAAUAGAUCUUUCUCUGUUUCACCUUUUAAGGAAUUUAGAUCAGAAAAGCGUAAAAGUCAUAAUGUGAAUUUAGGAGCUUCAGAACUCUUUUGGACCUUGUUUGUUUGUUGAGUUUUGGCUGCCAUUGCCUUAUUCACAUGCAGCCUGGUCUCUGCAGUGUACUGGGAGUUACGUUCACUUCAGCAAAGCACCCUAGUGUGAAUCUGGGAAGAAACUCUUUUGCUGUGAGGGGCUGAUGACCUGUGUUACCAUCACAGAGCAUGUACAGCCAGGAUGAGGGGCUGCCCAGUAUGAGUGUGUGCCUUGGGCCUGGGAGACCUGGGCUCUGCUGCCCCUUGGCCUCAGAGACCUCCUCCUCUUCCUCCCUCACUCUCUGUUCGUGUCCAGAGAAAUGAGACAACUUCCUUGCUUCAGAGGGCUGUUGUAAGGACGAAAUGCAUUAAAGACAGCAAGAUGCUCACACAUUACAGUUUUGGAGGGAGACCAUGGGAUCGUUUAAGCACCUUAGGAAGAGAAGUCGAUUAAUACAGACACAGUUUCACUUUCUUUGAAGUAAAUGUAAAAGGGGAAAAAACGCCCUAUCCUUCAAAAGAGAAAGGAGUGUAAGGUAAGAAAAGGAAAGGCUAUGACUGUGGUGAAGGCUAGCACAGUAUUAUUGUAACACCAGUGUGGGAAUUAGAGGACACCCUACAGCCUAGUCGUAUAUUACAAACAAGAGAGGAGAUUUCAAAGAAACCUUUUAAUCUCCAGAGACAAUUUACAGGCUUCUCACUGCCAGGUACAGAGCACCCAGCCACCCUCUCCCCAUAAUCUCCCACGAGACCUCGCCAUGGCCACGGCUGCCUCCUCAAAGCCACAAGGUACCGGGUGUGGGCGGCAGUGCCAGGGCUGCGCUGCGAAGGCAGCGGGCCCUCUGCCCCUAUCAGCAUUGCCAUCAGCCUGCACCUUCCUGCUGCCUGCGAGCCUGGGGCUGGCUCCUGUGCAGGAGGGAAGUCGGAACGUGCACCCUGGCUCGGUGUCUGCUGCAUUACGGUGUGAGAUUCUUUGCUGCUGCUGCUUUCGAAGGAAAUGUUGGACAGCCUACAUCCUGCAACAUUACUAAUCAGGUAAAUUAUGUCCUUGUUGACCUUCAGGGCUCUCCUCUUUACUAACUGUUCAAAAGUUGUCUCGUU
rnacentral:lncRNA from 1 species